CUGGAUAGCUCAGUUGGUUAGAGUGCGGUGCUGACAACACCAAGGUUGCAGGUUCGAUUCCCAAGAAGAAGA